UACGGAGGGUGCAAGCGUUAUCCGGAAUCAUUGGGUUUAAAGGGUUCGCAGGCGGCCUAUUAAGUCAGUGGUGAAAUCCUACAGCUCAACUGUAGAACUGCCAUUGAUACUGUUAGGCUUGAAUGUAGUUGGAGUAGGCGGAAUGUGUAGUGUAGCGGUGAAAUGCUUAGAUAUUACACAGAACACCGAUAGCGAAGGCAGCUUACUAAACUAUAAUUGACGCUCAUGAAAGAAAGCGUGGGGAGCGAACAGG
rnacentral:rRNA from 1 species